GUGCAGCAGUCGCGAAAACUCCGCAAUACGCGAAGGCGUGACGGGGCUAUUCCGAGUGCCGUCCGCUGAGGAUGGCUUUUCCCCAGUGUAGAUAGCUGGGGGAAUAAGAAGAGGGCAAGUCUGGUGUCAGCCGCCGCGGUAAUACCAGCUCUUCGAGUGGUGGGGAUGUUUAUUGGGCCUGAAGCAUCCGUAGCCGGCUGAACAAGUCCCCCGUUAAAUCCAGCGAUUUAAUCGUUGGAUUGCAGGGGAUACUGUCCAGCUAGGGAGUGGGAGAGGCCGACGGUAUUCCCGGGGUAGGGGUGAAAUCCUAUAAUCCCGGGAGGACCACCAGUGGCGAAGGCUGUCGGCUAGAACAUGCCCGACGGUGAGGGAUGAAAGCUGGGGGAGCGAACCGGAGUAGAUACCCCGGUAGUCC
rnacentral:rRNA from 1 species